UACGGAGGGGGGCUAGCGUUGUUCGGAAUUACUGGGCGUAAAGCGCACGUAGGCGGCUUUGUAAGUUAGAGGUGAAAGCCCAGGGCUUAACCCUGGAAUUGCCUUUAAGACUGCAUCGCUAGAAUCGUGGAGAGGUGAGUGGAAUUCCGAGUGUAGAGGUGAAAUUCGUAGAUAUUCGGAAGAACACCAGUGGCGAAGGCGACUCACUGGACACGUAUUGACGCUGAGGUGCGAAAGCGUGGGGAGCAAACA
rnacentral:rRNA from 1 species